UUAUUGAUAGAUAUUCCUUCAUAUAUCCUCGGAUAAUACGGUUCGAGAGUCUCUACCAAACUACCGAUAAUAGUUUGACUAUGAAGGCAGCUUUUCU
rnacentral:ncRNA from 1 species